UGCAAGUCGAGCGGACUUGAUGAAGCUUGCUUCAUCAAGUUAGCGGCGGACGGGUGAGUAACACGUGGGCAACCUGCCUGUAAGACUGGGAUAACUCCGGGAAACCGGAGCUAAUACCGGAUAGUAUCUUGAACCGCAUGGUUCAAGUUGGAAAGACGGUUUCGGCUGUCACUUACAGAUGGGCCCGCGGCGCAUUAGCUAGUUGGUGAGGUAAUGGCUCACCAAGGCAACGAUGCGUAGCCGACCUGAGAGGGUGAUCGGCCACACUGGGACUGAGACACGGCCCAGACUCCUACGGGAGGCAGCAGUAGGGAAUCUUCCGCAAUGGACGAAAGUCUGACGGAGCAACGCCGCGUGAGUGAUGAAGGUUUUCGGAUCGUAAAACUCUGUUGUUAGGGAAGAACAAGUGCGAGAGUAACUGCUCGCACCUUGACGGUACCUAACCAGAAAGCCACGGCUAACUACGUGCCAGCAGCCGCGGUAAUACGUAGGUGGCAAGCGUUGUCCGGAAUUAUUGGGCGUAAAGCGCGCGCAGGCGGUUUCUUAAGUCUGAUGUGAAAGCCCCCGGCUCAACCGGGGAGGGUCAUUGGAAACUGGGAAACUUGAGUGCAGAAGAGGAGAGUGGAAUUCCACGUGUAGCGGUGAAAUGCGUAGAGAUGUGGAGGAACACCAGUGGCGAAGGCGACUCUCUGGUCUGUAACUGACGCUGAGGCGCGAAAGCGUGGGGAGCGAACAGGAUUAGAUACCCUGGUAGUCCACGCCGUAAACGAUGAGUGCUAAGUGUUAGAGGGUUUCCGCCCUUUAGUGCUGCAGCUAACGCAUUAAGCACUCCGCCUGGGGAGUACGGUCGCAAGACUGAAACUCAAAGGAAUUGACGGGGGCCCGCACAAGCGGUGGAGCAUGUGGUUUAAUUCGAAGCAACGCGAAGAACCUUACCAGGUCUUGACAUCCUUUGCCACUUCUAGAGAUAGAAGGUUCCCCUUCGGGGGACAAAGUGACAGGUGGUGCAUGGUUGUCGUCAGCUCGUGUCGUGAGAUGUUGGGUUAAGUCCCGCAACGAGCGCAACCCUUGAUCUUAGUUGCCAGCAUUCAGUUGGGCCUCUAAGGUGACUGCCGGUG
rnacentral:rRNA from 1 species